rnacentral:rRNA from 1 species
CGGAUAAUCUAACCUAUGGUGAGGGAUAAUCUCGGGAAACUGAGGCUAAUACCUCAUAGAUCAGAUAUGCUGGAAUGCUCUCUGGUCCAAAGCUGAGGCGCCAUAGGAUGAGUCUGCGGCCUAUCAGGUAGUAGUGAGUGUAACGGACUCACUAGCCGACGACGGGUACGGGCUGUGGAAGCAGUCGCCCGGAGAUGGAUUCUGAGACACGAAUCCAGGCCCUACGGGGCGCAGCAGGCGCGAAAACUUUACACUGCAGGAAACUGCGAUAAGGGAACUCCAAGUGUCUAUGCAUCGCAUAGUCUGUUUUCCUGUCCAAAAAACAGGGAGAGUAAGGGCUGGGUAAGACGGGUGCCAGCCGCCGCGGUAAUACCCGCAGCCCGAGUGGUGAACACUUUUAUUGGGCCUAAAGCGUCCGUAGCCGGUCUGGUAAAUCCUUGGGUAAAUCGUACGGCCUAACCGUGCGAAGUCUGGGGAGACUGUCAGACUUGGGACCGGGAGAGGUUGGAGGUACUCCAGGGGUAGGGGUGAAAUCCUGUAAUCCUUAGAGGACCACCGGUGGCGAAGGCGUCCAACUAGAACGGAUCCGACGGUGAGGGACGAAGCCGUGGGGCACAAACCGGAUUAGAUACCCGGGUAGUCCACGGUGUAAACGCUGCGGGCUUGGUGUUGGGGGUCCUAAGGGGGCGCCCAGUGCCGGAGAGAAAUUGUUAAGCCUGCCGCCUGGGGAGUACGGUCGCAAGACUGAAACUUAAAGGAAUUGGCGGGGGAGCACCGCAACGGGAGGAGCGUGCGGUUUAAUUGGAUCAACGCCGUAAAACUCACCGGGGGAGACUCUUACAUGAAGGCCAAGCUGAUGACUUUACCCGAUUUUGAGAGAGGUGGUGCAUGGCCGCCGUCAGUUCGUACCGCAAGGCGUUCUGUUAAGUCAGAUAACGAACGAGACCCCAAUCCUUAAUUGCCAAGCUUCCCUCAGGGGGAGCGGAACAUUAAGGGGACCGCUGGUGUUAAAUCAGAGGAAGGCGGGGCAACGGUAGGUCAGUAUGCCCUGAAUCCCUCGGGCUACACGCGCGCUACAAAGGACAAGACAAUGGGUUCCGACAUCGAAAGGUGAAGGCAAUCCCGAAACUUGUUCGUAGUUCGGAUUGAGGGCUGUAACCCGCCCUCAUGAAGGUGGAUUCCUUAGUAAUCGUAAGUCAACAUCUUACGGUGAAUAUGCCCCUGCUCCUUGCACACACCGCCCGUCAAACCAUCUGAGUAGGGCGAAGACGAGGGUUCAUCCUCUUGGUGAAUUCGAAUCUUUGUUCUGCAAGGAGGGUUAAGUCGUAACAAGGUA